CACUUCAAAUAAUUCCAGAAUUUUUAAAAUAUAAAAAGUAGAUCAAAAUGCCCCCGUUGCUGACUGAUCCAAAACAGUUUGUAUUUUUGUUAGAAAACUGGACUGUUUUGGCUUAAUCAGUCACUACACCAUGAAAACUCAACAUUUUUGAGUGCUACCACUUGGGUUAACUAGUAAACACAUAUAUCUAGCACCCCUCUUUGACGGAUCGUAAAAAAGAGUUAUAGAUUUAAAACGGU
rnacentral:lncRNA from 1 species